AGAGAGAGAGAAGGAAGUGAUCGAUUGUGCAUCUCACUCCUUUGUGCUCUCUAUGCUUCUGUCAUCACCUUCAGCCUCCGUUUCUCAUUCCUCCUCUCUCUACACCAACUGUUGAUGUUACAAUUACACAAUACAAGAUUUUAGAAAACAGAUUUGGCUGCAUCAAUGGAUAAUGAUUCUAGUGAUGGCAUCAACUGUAUUAUUUAUCCUUAAUUUCUUGCAAUAUCAUAAAAUGAUGAAAUGAAAUUACAAUAUUAUUUGAUAUGAAUAUAGAUAUCUAGGCCAACAUAUGAUUGCUGUAUUAAUUAACCUUUAUAUUUUUGUAGUUAGACGCGUGUGGCUGUUGGACACUACGAGUUAUCUGUCUGUCGAUGGCAUGAGAGAGUAAGAAUGAGAAACUGAUGAAGGAUUUAGCUUUUUUUUGUAAUUUUCUACACACUUUUGUUCUUUUUGCUGCUGAUUUCCUUCACUGUGGUAGUGUGUAUAAACAUUUGAUUUGGGCAUAGAAGAUCUGUAUUUUGUGCUUGAAAGAAAAAUCUGACUUGCUUUCAACAAGAAGAAUGUAGUACAACUUGCUUUAUGGAAGAAGGACCACAUGCAAUUGGAAUUUGUGGCAAGGGAUUGCGAAGAAAAUGUAUGGGGUCCAAUUCAAAACUGACUAUGACAUAUUGUAGGGCACAUACAUACUUGAUUUCUCAAGAUUCUUCCAGUCAGUACCCCACACUCUUGUUCAAUGAUUUACAAGGUGAUCUAGCCAACAACAAAGGGUCAAGAACAAAACCAAGAUCAAAUAACUUUAUAUACUGUAAAUAAUAUCUGGUUAUGGUGAAUGAACAAAAGUUUAAAACUAAAAACAAGGAGAGAAAUGGGUGGUUUUCAUGGAUGAAGAUGACCCCAUUAUUACUAUUCAUGUGACGUAUUAGUGGUAGGAAAUUGAUGUAUAGUAGUAGUUUAGUAGUGGUAUUGCAAUCCAAGAUAGAACCCAUAUAUAUCUGAUAAACAAUGUGAAGAAGAAGAUACAGUGAAAUAUCACUUGCCUUGUCUGCAAUGCAAGAAACAUGAAAUUAAUGAAAGUAUUCUUCCAUUUUCUAGA